rnacentral:rRNA from 1 species
UACGUAGGGGGCAAGCGUUGUCCGGAUUCAUUGGGCGUAAAGAGCGUGUAGGCGGCCAGGCAGGUCCGCUGUGAAAACUCGAGGCUCAACCUCGAGAUGUCGGUGGAAACCAUCUGGCUAGAGUCCGGAAGAGGAGAGUGGAAUUCCCGGUGUAGCGGUGAAAUGCGCAGAUAUCGGGAAGAACACCCGUGGCGAAGGCGGCUCUCUGGGACGGUACUGACGCUGAGACGCGAAAGCGUGGGGAGCGAACAGG